GUAUAAGAGACAGCAGUAGCCGCGGGAAUACGAAGGGGGCUAGCGUUGUUCGGAAUUACUGGGCGUAAAGCGCACGCAGGCGGCUCGAUAAAUUAGAAGUGAAAGCCUUGGGCUUAACCUGAGAAUUGCUUUUAAGACUGUCGAGCUAGAAUCCAGAAGAGGGUAGUGGAAUUCCGAGUGUAGAGGUGAAAUUCGUAGAUAUUCGGAUGAACACCAGUGGCGAAGGCGGCUCACUGGACGACUGUUGACGCUGAGGUGCGAAAGCGUGGGGAGCAGACAGGAUUAGAUACCCCCGUAGUCCCUGUCUCUUAUAC
rnacentral:rRNA from 1 species